rnacentral:lncRNA from 1 species
ACAGAAGGCCAAAGCAGAGGAAAUUGAGCAGUUGCAUGAAGUCAUCGAGAAGCUGCAGAGUGAGCUGAGCCUCAUGGGGCCCACGGUGCAUGAAAUGAGUGACCUUCCGCCUGGCAGCCUCCACACGGAGCUGUCCUGCCUCCAGGCGGAAGGCAUGGGUGGCCAGGCCCUGCACAAUGAGCUGCAAGCUGCACAGGCAGCCAAGGGCGCCUUUGGCCAGCUUCUGGCAGACCAUGGACACAGCCAGGCCCUGGAGGCACUGCAGGAGCGGCUGCAGGAUGCAGAGGCGGCGGCUGCCAGACACCUGACUGAGCUAGAACACUGUGUGGCCCUCAGACAGGCUGAGGUGGAAGCCAUGGCCUCUCGGAUCCAAGAGUUUGAAGCUACCCU